UUUCAGAUCUGAAUUGAGCUUGGCUUCAAGAGACCAAGAAGAUUCCAUUAAGCAUUAUUUUCUCAAGGUAUUUUAGGAAAAAAAAAAGAGUCCAUAAUUUUACAAAACAACUGCAUUUUUCCCUUUAAAAUUCACAGUGGAUUUUAUAGGAGAACCCCCCCCCGGUGGCUUUUUUUUGAAAGGUGGUAACAUCUAUUCCUACCUAUUUUUGUUUGUUAGUUUGUUUGUUUUGUUUUAGAGCUUGGAUAUAGUCUCUUCCAGGAGGGUUUGAAAAGCUAGUUAGCUAAAGUGGAAUACCUUAGGCUUAGGAACUGCUUAAGAAGCAGUUCUCAAGUUACACCUAUUGCCAUUCCAUCUAUGGUAUGAAUUUAUGGUAUGGAUUUACAGUGUACAGAGCACAUUCCCAGAAACACCGGUCUAAGGAAAUAGUAAUCUCUACUAUUCCAGACAUGUGAAGGUUUGAAGGUUGCAUGCUGAAUGUCUGUAGAAAUACUCGGUGAAGACUUACUUUUGGUUUAGGAAUAUUAUCUGUUUACCAGAAGCAACUUCUAUGCACAAACCCUCCAAUUAUCCUGUUAUUUUCAUUACUUGUUAAAUUUAUGCUGACCACAUUAAGUGGCAGAUCAAUGGGCAGAAUGUUGAUUCCUUUUUGUUAUUAAA
rnacentral:lncRNA from 1 species